rnacentral:rRNA from 1 species
AAAGCGUGCGCAGGCGGUUUUGUAAGUCUGUCGUGAAAGCCCCGGGCUUAACCUGGGAAUUGCGAUGGAGACUGCAAGGCUUGAGUUUGGCAGAGGGGGGUAGAAUUCCACGUGUAGCAGUGAAAUGCGUAGAUAUGUGGAGGAACACCGAUGGCGAAGGCAGCCCCCUGGGUCAAAACUGACGCUCAUGCACGAAAGCGUGGGGAGCAAACAGGAUUAGAUACCCGGGU